ACAACAGUAGAACUGAGUAGUUGUGACAGAUUAUGCAGCCCACAAAGUCUAAAAUAUUUACUAUCUGGAUUAUUACCAAAAAAGUUGGCAAACCCCCAGUCUAGAUGAACAGAUGCUGAGGAUCCAAACCAACAGGAAGAGGAACUAAUGCCUAUUAAUUCCAGCUCCCACAUGCGACUACUUAGAACAGCGUUGCUUCUUACAUGGGGGACGGGACAGCUUGUGCCGUCAACUUGUAAAGAGAAAAUCACACACAGCCCAACUCACCCUGGAAAGUCUCCUGGAAGUUGCCAUAUUGGAGACUGAUCAACUCUUGCUCACAAAGGCCUGCACAGACAGUGUUACCAGCAUCUACAAAUCUGCAUGGAGCGGAGCAUUUCAACAAUGUAUACACCGAGGUGCAUGGAACUGCACUAGGCAGUUUUCACCAGCCCCAAGACCAGAAGGAUCAAAUCUGCAGCGUAAUCAGCUGCAAUUCUGAAACCAAAUCACAUAUGGGCUGGCAGUGUUUACAGGGAAUAAAUGAUUAAAAACCCUAGAAUAGCAUUCCCCAGAAGCUCUCUCAUUUGGAAAAUUGCAAAAGGAAAUUGAAGAGAAGUGGAAAAUGUUUUGCCAACAUGAAAGCUAGAGAAAAAAAAAGCCCUCUUAAACAUAUGUUGAAAGAGACUGUCUUUUAUAUCUGUAUCUCUGUAAAUUACCUCAAUUAUUAGUGAGAGUAAUAAACACCAUCUCACUAUGAGUGAUUAGAGAACGGAUUUGAAAGACCGUUGCAAAUAUGUUUGAAACUCUAUGCCCUGAUGAAUACAGUGACGAGGCACUAUUUCAUACCCAUUGGGUUGGCAAAAUACAAGUUGGAUUAUAAAUGAUGACCAGGAUAUGGGGACUUGAGAAUGCUUAUACAUUGCUGGUGGGAUUAAAGUUAAUAAACACUCAGAAGAGCGAUUCGGGAGUGACUAGUAAAGGUAAAACGUGCCUGCCCGGCCACCCAGCAGUUUGUCUUGUGGGUAGACACCCCAGAGCAGCGGUGCUCCAAGUGUAAUCCCAGACUCCUGGGGAUCUUUGAGGUGCUUCAGGGGACCUGCAAGGUCAAAAAUGUCUUCAGAAUAAUACUAAGAAGUCAUUCGUCGGGGCGCUUGGGUGGCUCAGUUGGAUAAGCGUCCGACUUCG